AUCUGUAACCUUGAAUUUGAUUUGCCAAUAAUGGAACAUAGUUGAGCGUUAAUAGUUCGAUAACAUAUCGAAGAUUAUUUUAUAUUUUUAACGAAACGUAAUUUAUAUUUAUAGUUGGAAAUUGUUAUUGUUGUUAAUGUUACUGAUAUAUAAAUUGUCAGAAAUAAAUAUUUAUACCCUGAAAAAUAAUCGUGAUUUAUUUAAAAAAUUUUGUUUCAAGUGCGUGAAAUUAAUUACUGAUAAUCUUUUGAACUUCGUGCAUGCUUCUCUCCAAUGAAGUUUGAAGAAGUUUAUAUCUCAAGAAAGAAACAGAACGGUAUCAGUGAAUCACAUUCUGAACAAUCAUAAACAAAAUCCUGAACUCGAAUCUAUGUGAAAGCAAGAAAAACAAUUAUUAGAUACAAUAAUUUGUGAGUAAAUUAAAAAAAAUUAUAGUUUAAUCAUAUAAUUUUAUUGCGAAUAAAGGAUUAUGAAAUGUAGAGUUAUAUGUGUAUUUACUAUUUCAGAUACAAGAAAAAGUUUCAUAUUCCUUUUGUAAUACAUAUGCAAGAAAAUAAAGUGUAAACAAUUCUUACAUCAAUUCAAACGCGUUUGCAAGAUACGAAAGAUAACGAAUUACGUGUUGGAAUUCAAGAAGUUAA